CAGAAUCAUAGCAAAUUUCUUAGAACUUUGAAGGGAGGACUUGACCGGGAAUUAGCUUACUAAACUGGUAUUUUGAAUCGUAGAAAAUUUGGUUGAAUUUUGAAGGGAGGACAUGACCAGGCAACUAACUCUACAGGGAAUCAGCUUACUAUAAAGUCUCUGUUUGAACAUUGGGCAACAUUACGCAUGUUCUUUUUAUAAUCAUUGGAAAGCAGAAGGGGCAAUUAGCAUAAUGGAUGGAUAGAGUGUAUGAAGUUUUUAGGCCAAAUAGAGGCAGUUUGAUUAAAUGUCCCAAAGGUGGAGUAAUUUGCUGCAAAGUGAUGC